rnacentral:rRNA from 1 species
CUAAGCCCUCGAAUGGAGAGGGUUCGGCCCUCGGCGGACUGCUCAGUAACACGUGGAUAAUUUGCCCUUAGGUGGAGGAUAAUCUCGGGAAACUGAGAAUAAUACUCCAUAGAUCUAGGAUGCUGGAAUGCACUUAGAUUGAAAGUUCCGGCGCCUAAGGAUAAGUCUGCGGACUAUCAGGUUGUAGUCAGGGUAAAGACCUGACUAGCCUACAACGGAUACGGGUUGUGAGAGCAAUAACCCGGAGACGAUAUCUGAGACACGAUAUCGGGCCCUACGGGGUCCAGCAGGCGCGAAACCUUCACACUGCGCGAAAGCGCGAUAAGGGGAUCCCAAGUGCCAGCUCGUAAGAGUUGGCUGUUUCUCUGUCUAAAAAGCAGAGAGAGUAAGGGCUGGGUAAGACGGGUGCCAGCCGCCGCGGUAA